rnacentral:rRNA from 1 species
AGGAUUCCCCUAGUAACGGCGAGUGAAGCGGGAUGAGCUCACCAUGUGAAUCUGCGCAACCAGCAAUGGUGCGCCGAAUUGUGGUCUGAAGAAGUAUUGUCGGCCGCGAGUCCGGGUUAACUGUAUUGGAAAAUACGGCCUGUGAGGGUGAAAGCCCCGUUCAUGCCUGGACUUGUUGCGCUUUGGCACAUGCUUUCUACGAGUCGAGUUGCUUGGGAUUGCAGCUCAAAUUUGGUGGUAAAUUCCAUCUAAAGCUAAAUAUUGGUGUGACACCGAUAGUGUACAAGUACCGUGAGGGAAAGAUGCAAAGAACUUUGAAAAGAGAGUUAAAGAGUACCUGAAAUUGUUAAAAGGGAAGCGAAGGAAUCCAGUGUAAAGCGAAGCCAUUCUUCUCAAGCCACUUGUGGUUUGGGCGCUGUGGUUAGCUGUACUAAUUCUGGGCUUGACCUGGGGCAUACGUUCUUCGAGUAGACGACUCUUCGGAGUGAGUGCUCGUUUUUCAUAUCCUGGGUCGGGCUGAGGUCAGUCACUCUGUGCUCGUGAUGAAUUAGGAAAUGGAUUUCUUUACCCCGUCUUGAAACACGGACCAAGGAGUCUAACAUAUGUGCAAGUACGUCAGUGGCAAACUGAUAUGCGUAAUGAAAGUAACAGUGGUAGGAACCUUCGGGUGCACUAUCCGCCGGCCAUAAUCCUUCGGGAGAAAGGUCUGAGUGUGAGCAUACAUGUUGGGACCCGAAAGAUGGUGAACUAUGCCUGAGUAGGGCGAAGCCAGGGGAAAC